rnacentral:rRNA from 1 species
GACGAACGCUGGCGGCGUGCUUAACACAUGCAAGUCGAACGGAAAGGCCCUGCUUUUGUGGGGUGCUCGAGUGGCGAACGGGUGAGUAACACGUGAGUAACCUGCCCUUGACUUUGGGAUAACUUCAGGAAACUGGGGCUAAUACCGGAUAGGAGCUCCUGCUGCAUGGUGGGGGUUGGAAAGUUUCGGCGGUUGGGGAUGGACUCGCGGCUUAUCAGCUUGUUGGUGGGGUAGUGGCUUACCAAGGCUUUGACGGGUAGCCGGCCUGAGAGGGUGACCGGCCACAUUGGGACUGAGAUACGGCCCAGACUCCUACGGGAGGCAGCAGUGGGGAAUAUUGCACAAUGGGCGGAAGCCUGAUGCAGCAACGCCGCGUGCGGGAUGACGGCCUUCGGGUUGUAAACCGCUUUCGCCUGUGACGAAGCGUGAGUGACGGUAAUGGGUAAAGAAGCACCGGCUAACUACGUGCCAGCAGCCGCGGUGAUACGUAGGGUGCGAGCGUUGUCCGGAUUUAUUGGGCGUAAAGGGCUCGUAGGUGGUUGAUCGCGUCGGAAGUGUAAUCUUGGGGCUUAACCCUGAGCGUGCUUUCGAUACGGGUUGACUUGAGGAAGGUAGGGGAGAAUGGAAUUCCUGGUGGAGCGGUGGAAUGCGCAGAUAUCAGGAGGAACACCAGUGGCGAAGGCGGUUCUCUGGGCCUUUCCUGACGCUGAGGAGCGAAAGCGUGGGGAGCGAACAGGCUUAGAUACCCUGGUAGUCCACGCUGUAAACGGUGGGUACUAGGUGUGGGGUCCAUUCCACGGGUUCCGUGCCGUAGCUAACGCUUUAAGUACCCCGCCUGGGGAGUACGGCCGCAAGGCUAAAACUCAAAGGAAUUGACGGGGCCCCGCACAAGCGGCGGAGCAUGCGGAUUAAUUCGAUGCAACGCGUAGAACCUUACCUGGGUUUGACAUGGAUCGGGAGUGCUCAGAGAUGGGUGUGCCUCUUUUGGGGUCGGUUCACAGGUGGUGCAUGGCUGUCGUCAGCUCGUGUCGUGAGAUGUUGGGUUAAGUCCCGCAACGAGCGCAACCCUUGUUCACUGUUGCCAGCACGUUAUGGUGGGGACUCAGUGGAGACCGCCGGGGUCAACUCGGAGGAAGGUUGGGGAUGACGUCAAGUCAUCAUGCCCCUUAUGUCCAGGGCUUCACGCAUGCUACAAUGGCUGGUACAGAGAGUGGCGAGCCUGUGAGGGUGAGCGAAUCUCGGAAAGCCGGUCUCAGUUCGGAUUGGGGUCUGCAACUCGACCUCAUGAAGUCGGAGUCGGUAGUAAUCGCAGAUCAGCAACGCUGCGGUGAAUACGUUCCCGGG